UGUCACGUGACUGUCACGUGACUAACCCAGGAAAUGGCCUCCCCGGGAUGACAACGUAUGAGAUAAAGCAGCUGCAAUGUUCCACGUUCACUCCACCUAUGACAUCCACACUUACUUCCUCUGGUUGUCUGUGAGUGUGAUUCCCUGUGCUGACACCUUAAAGUGGACAACAGUCGAGGCUGACGGAGGGUCCAUGGCGAGUGUCAGCGUGGUCGCUUUCUGAACUGCCUGGUGUCCCGUGAGAGACUCCAGUUCCACAGAGCCGAGGUACCACACAUUACAAGCUACAAAAAUAUUAAAAACAUAUGUUUUAUGAAACACAAUACAA